GACGAACGCUGGCGGCGUGCCUAAUACAUGCAAGUUGAGCGCUGAAGGUUGGUACUUGUACCAACUGGAUGAGCAGCGAACGGGUGAGUAACGCGUGGGGAAUCUGCCUUUGAGCGGGGGACAACAUUUGGAAACGAAUGCUAAUACCGCAUAAAAACUUUAAACACAAGUUUUAAGUUUGAAAGAUGCAAUUGCAUCACUCAAAGAUGAUCCCGCGUUGUAUUAGCUAGUUGGUGAGGUAAAGGCUCACCAAGGCGAUGAUACAUAGCCGACCUGAGAGGGUGAGCGGCCACAUUGGGACUGAGACACGGCCCAAACUCCUACGGGAGGCAGCAGUAGGGAAUCUUCGGCAAUGGACGAAAGUCUGACCGAGCAACGCCGCGUGAGUGAAGAAGGGUUUCGGAUCGUAAAACUCUGUUGGUAGAGAAGAACGUUGGUGAGAGUGGAAAGCUCGUCAAGUGACGGUAACUACCCAGAAAGGGACGGCUAACUACGUG
rnacentral:rRNA from 1 species